rnacentral:rRNA from 1 species
AGAGUUUGAUCCUGGCUCAGGAUGAACGCUAGCGACAGGCCUAACACAUGCAAGUCGAGGGGCAUCGGGGCUAGGAGCAAUCCUUGCCGCCGGCGACCGGCGCACGGGUGAGUAACGCGUAUGCGACCUGCCCGUUGCAGGGGGGAUAGUCGGGAGAAAUCCCGUCUAAUACCGCGUAAUGCCGCGGGGCUGCAUGGCCCUGCGGCCAAAGGGAGCGAUUCCGGCAACGGAUGGGCAUGCGUGACAUUAGCUAGUUGGCGGGGCAACGGCCCACCAAGGCGACGAUGUCUAGGGGUUCUGAGAGGAAGGUCCCCCACACUGGUACUGAGACACGGACCAGACUCCUACGGGAGGCAGCAGUGAGGAAUAUUGGUCAAUGGGCGCGAGCCUGAACCAGCCAAGUCGCGUGAGGGAUGACGGCCCUACGGGUUGUAAACCUCUUUUGUCGGGGAGCAAAUUCCGUUACGUGUAACGGAGUCGAGAGUACCCGAAGAAAAAGCAUCGGCUAACUCCGUGCCAGCAGCCGCGGUAAUACGGAGGAUGCGAGCGUUAUCCGGAUUUAUUGGGUUUAAAGGGUGCGUAGGCGGACUGUCAAGUCAGCGGUAAAAUACGGGGGCUCAACCUCCGCCCGUCGUUGAAACUGACGGUCUUGAGUGGGCGAGAAGUAUGCGGAAUGCGUGGUGUAGCGGUGAAAUGCAUAGAUAUCACGCAGAACUCCGAUUGCGAAGGCAGCAUACCGGCGCCCAACUGACGCUGAAGCACGAAAGCGUGGGUAUCGAACAGGAUUAGAUACCCUGGUAGUCCACGCAGUAAACGAUGAAUAAUAGCUGUCCGGGGCGAAUGAGCCCUGGGGGCACAGCGAAAGCGUUAAGUAUUCCACCUGGGGAGUACGCCGGCAACGGUGAAACUCAAAGGAAUUGACGGGGGCCCGCACAAGUGGAGGAACAUGUGGUUUAAUUCGAUGAUACGCGAGGAACCUUACCCGGGCUCAAACGACACAGGAACGUACCUGAAAGGGUUCGGCUCUACGGAGCCUGUGUCGAGGUGCUGCAUGGUUGUCGUCAGCUCGUGCCGUGAGGUGUCGGCUUAAGUGCCAUAACGAGCGCAACCCCCAUCGACAGUUGCUAACAGGUCAGGCUGAGGACUCUGUCGAGACUGCCGGCGCAAGCUGCGAGGAAGGCGGGGAUGACGUCAAAUCAGCACGGCCCUUACGUCCGGGGCGACACACGUGUUACAAUGGCAGGUACAGCGGGAAGCCACCUGGCGACAGGGAGCGGAACCCGAAAGCCUGUCUCAGUUCGGAUUGGAGUCUGCAACCCGACUCCAUGAAGCUGGAUUCGCUAGUAAUCGCGCAUCAGCCACGGCGCGGUGAAUACGUUCCCGGGCCUUGCACUAACCGCCCGUCA